ensembl:lncRNA
AAAUGAAAGACUGUAACUAAGGCCCUCGCUGCUUUGUUGACCAAUCAGAUGAAGACUCAGACAGCAAUAUUGACCAAUCGGGUCAUUUUGUGGGUAAGUUAUUGCAGUAAGUUUGUUAACGUUACCUGUCACUGUAAAUAUUUUUUGUCUAAGUUUUUUUUUCUUCAAAUGUACAGUUCUCGAUCUACUGUUCGAAACUUUUGUCAACGCCGUCGAAACUGAGAAUGGAGCCUACAUUUAGGAUGAAACCAGAAGGAGGUCUGAACAUGUGCGACUCCUUGGUCGCUCUUAAGAAAAAGGAGGAAAAUAAGAAAAAACCUUGGUCUCGGGCUCUUUCCCCAGAUAAGGUGUUGGAGGCUGCUAGACAAGCUGUAUUGCGCCAGGGUGAAGACCCGAGCAAUAAAAAAUAUGUUCUGGGGCUACAUAAAAUGCAGUUUGGUGUGUUCAAAGGCCAGACAUUUAAGUGGGUUGCUGAAAAUGCCCUCGGUUAUGCUGGAUAUUUGGUGGCAAGUAUGAGGAGGGAAUCAGCUGAUAUCAAAGACUCCAAAAAUCACCAUGCUAAUAAAGCAGCCUUUGCAGAGUACAUAGGACUUUUCCCAGAGGGUCGUGAGGCCAUUCGUAUCAAAACUGAAAACAUGGGUUACCCAAGCUCCCAGCAUAUGUCCCAGCAGAAGUCUCCCAGUGCCCCACAGUCCUUACCGUCAGUCUCCUCUGUUCGAUCGCUUCUGAUUGGCAAAACACGACAUCCACAGAGCAUUGACAAAGCGGUCAAAAAAAUGGUAAUGCCACCAGUAGCCAAACCUGCUUUGACUGGAAGAUUUGCAAAGACACCGCAGCCUACUGUGUCAGUGCCUGUAGAAUCUCCUAGUAUGGCCUCAUUUGGGCCAUCUGAGCAGGAUGACCAUGAACUUGUUGCUCAGGCAGACUUGCUGGAAUCUCAGGUGUCCAGAAAACAAAUUUGCCUUCCUGUGGGCUGGACUCACACAUUGCCACCUGCUGAUCAGCUCUGGAUAUCAAAGGUUUUGUUUAAGUAUUCAUCCCACAACCAACCAGAAAUGGACUUCACCAGAGUGGACAGGAUGUGGUGGUACCCUCCACAGCCCCCUUUUGCAGUUGCAGGAGUACCAGGGACAGAGCGCUACUUUGGCCACCCCUUCUUUCUCUGGAUGCCAAGAAAGCUAUGGAGAGUCAAGUUAACCUGUCCACAUCCAGACUGUGUAAAGGAGGAACUCACAUCGGCAGGACUGCAUCAGAAAAUCAGACAGGUAGUUGAUGUUAAAACAUCUUACUUCAUGGCGUCUGAGUAUCUGUCAUGCAGGAAAUGCAAAAGGAAGGUGAUCAGCUGGAGCUUUGACAUUGUAUCACAGCUUGACAUUAGUCAUAGGCUUCAAUUUCCCUGCAUUCUUACCUCAAAACUGGCAUGUGACAUGGCAGUGGUCCGUCUUCAACGUCAGAGAGGCCUGGGAAACAGCAGCAGCCAAAUGCAGAAGCAGCUAGAGGAGCAGCAUUCUGAGAACUGGAUGCUGAAGGUCGUGCAGUAUCUGACAGACUGCCAGAGUUUUCGCAAAGCGGUCACUGCAGGUCUUGUGAUGCCCAUGUCUUUUGAAAAACCACCUGCAAUGCUCCCUGUACCCAAGCAUCGGUGGCUGAUGCAGGUGUAUGCUCAGGAUGUCCUUCAAAGACUGGAUGAGAUCAAAGCAAGUAUAACCUCACGGUUUGGACGAGUGCUGAAAAUGGAUUCCACCAAGAAGGUUGCACGCAAGCUUGCGGGUCACAGUGCUGGAACAGCCACCUGGGUUACAAAUGUUGGAAAUGAACAUGGUCAGGUCAUCAUGACAGUUCUUACAGCAAGUGAAGGCUUUGGAUUGGCGUCCAUGGUUGGUGGCAUCAUUAAAAGGUACAAGGAUGCUUCAGUACCUCCACCUGAACUGCUGUAUGUCGACAGAGACUGCUGUGGGGGUACUUACCUAAAAAAAAUAUUUGAGGAAUGGAAGGACAUGGAAAUCAGACUGGACAUCUGGCAUUUCAUGCGAAGGAUUUCUGUAGGAUGCACAACAGAUUCUCAUCAGCUCUAUUCUACAUUCAUGGCCCACCUCAGCCGGUGUAUUUUCUCCUGGGAUCAGGAGGACGUGGACAGGCUUAUAAGGGCAAAGCGUGCAGAGUUGGAGGCUCAGCUGAUGCAACCUUCAGAUGCUGAUGUUUUGCGUCGCCUUAGUAAGAGUGAACUGGCCCUACACUGUAAAAGAACAACACGUGGCACAAGGGAGACUGUAGAUCUCAUCUCCCAGCUGAUCGAUUCCUUUGAAGGGGAGAGGGGGCGUGACACUUUGGGUGUGCCUCUCAUCAAUUCUGCUCGAAUGGCCGAGAUAUGGAAAUCUCAGAGGAAGCAUGUAGCCUGCAUUCAGGAUCCCUCUGGUGUACAGCUCUACGUGCAGACAGGAACACUGACAAAGGGAGGGCACACUCUGCCAACAUAUAGGUGUGCAAGAGGUUCAACUUCUUUAGAAUCGUUCCACCUACAUCUAAACAGGUUCAUUCCAGGGACACUGGCCAGUGAUACAUUUUUCCAGGCCUACCUGUUGGAUGGAUUGGCCAGGUGGAAUGAAGACAGAGCAAAUGCUGCAACCUCUCAGGGCAAGCAGGGGCACCAUUCAUACAGUGGCCUCCUUCGUCAUGCUACUAAUGUGCUGGGAGAAGAUGUUCUUGGACAGAAGCUGGUGCCAUUUACUACUCCACAUCAGUAUACUGGUGGACUGAUUGGAGUAGAAUAUCUUUACCAGCAGACCGGUGAGGUUGCAAAGGUCUACAAGUCUGCAAUUCAGGAACUUGAGACUGCUGAUGUGUGUGUUGCAGAAGAUGAGAGCUAUGUUGAACCCGUGGACUUCGAUGACUUAACACUCUCUACAUUUGAGGAAGAAAAGCCUCCCCGUGUGUUGCCCUCUACAUCAUGUGCAGUGCCCUCAGAGAAUCCACAGGUGUUGCCCUCUGUACCAUCAGUAGUUCCCCAUUUGCUGUCCUCUGCACCAUCAGUGGUUCCCUGCGUGUUGCCCUCUCCUCCAUCUACAGUGCCCUCAGAGAAUCCACAGGUGUUGCCCUCUGCACCAUCAGUGGUUUCCCGUGUGUUGUCCUCUGCAGUCCAAUCUGCUUUUCCUGAUGAUUCUGUUGGACCUGACAACAUUAAAGGCUUUAGUGCAGUCCAGAAGUUAGCUGAGACAUUGGUUGGACUCAGGGACCACAGCCUUGCCUUGACAAGAGAGGAAUCUGCACAAAUUAUUAGUUUGUGGCAAGGGUUGGCAGAUUAUGACAAAGAAAGGAUUGUUUACUCAGCACGCCACCAGUCCUCCCUCAACAAAGGGCGGUUUAGGGCAACCAAAAAAAUUGUGGCACCAGGAGUAGAGAGUACCAGAAGAUGUUUUGUUGGAGCAAACAGUCCUGCACAGUGGCCUGACUGCAACAGAAUUGUUGAGGCAGUUUUUGUAAAACUCUGCGCUCUCUAUCCUAACCCUGUACGUCAAGGAGGGGUUAAAAUCUCACGAUUUAACAUCAUUGUACGUGCCUACAAGCAUAUCAGAGAGUGCAUUCUGAGUAAUGCUGAAGUGAUGCAGCAGACCACCCUCCAAUUACCUGAGGUCAAUGCAGCCACACUUACACAAUGGUACAGCAGACAUACAAAAUCUAAUGAGAGGGAAAUUUUGACUCAAGGAAUUCAUACACCAGAUGCACCAAUGACAGCACCAGACAGACUUCCACCAGCACUACAGAAAGAACAGAGUCUGCAGCAUGGAAGUAAUGACAGGCCUUUUGUUUUCAACUUGCCUCCAAACACAGCCGGAAUGGCCAAAACAAGAUCUGGGCCACAAAUACCUGAAAUAAUACUGCCGCCACCACCUGCACUGACCUCUAUUGCUGAACCAGGGCAGUCAUCUAGACCUCCCCCAGUUAUACUUCCUGCUUCUGCUGCAUUUCAGCCUAUAAUGUUUAUUGUAGCACCACAGGGACAAACUGUGACACUGCCAGCAGCAUUGCCAACACCAAAGCCUUCUGUACCAUACACCACAGAGUACUACAGGAAGAAGAAGCAAGAAAGGGAGCAGAUGGGCCUGAAGUCAAGGAAAUAUGUACGGAAGACUGAAGUAAUCCUGUGCAAGAAGUGUAACAAGGAGAGGAAACCACCAUCUCAUCUCCAGUAUUUUGGCAAUUGGUACUGUGAGGAGACCGCCACUGAACCAUUCACAGAGUGGAGGGCAGCACUGCAAACACGAGGAUAUGGAAAAAAGAGACCACUUAGUGGGGAGAAUUGAAAGGACGAAAACCUUUAACACAGAAGACUAAAUAAAUUACAUUGCACUAUUUGCA